CUGAUAGAGAAGGACUCUUGCAAACAGGCACAGCUGAUCCAGGGGGAGUGGUGGCUGGUUUGCUCAGAAGGUCCUGUUCCACAACGGAAGGUAUCUCAGCUAUGUCUCCAGCAGACUUCUGGGAGGUGCAGAUGCUAUACAUGGAGUUUCAGAGUCCUGGCAGUCAUUUCAGACAUAUUUCUCCUUGUUCUGUCUGGCUAGGAAGGUGGGUUUGGACCAGUCAGGAAUACAUUCAGCCUCAUACAGAUGAGCAGCCAGCUGACACAGGGGAUUUUUUCAAUGUUAACUUCCUUAUCAUACAUCGACAGAUGGUAUCACAUGCACUUAGAGCAUUCGACGUGGUGUUUUUGUGCAUGCAAUGGUUCAGGGUUUGUUCGACCUGCGGGCCACGUGCGGACGGGUGCAGCUGAAGCCAGGUACGGUGUAAACCAACGUCAAAGUGUAC
rnacentral:lncRNA from 1 species